rnacentral:rRNA from 1 species
UACGUAGGGUGCGAGCGUUGUCCGGAAUUAUUGGGCGUAAAGAGCUCGUAGGCGGUUUGUCGCGUCUGCUGUGAAAACUCGGGGCUCAACUCCGAGCUUGCAGUGGGUACGGGCAGACUAGAGUGCGGUAGGGGAGACUGGAAUUCCUGGUGUAGCGGUGGAAUGCGCAGAUAUCAGGAGGAACACCGGUGGCGAAGGCGGGUCUCUGGGCCGUAACUGACGCUGAGGCGCGAAAGCGUGGGGAGCAAACAGG